AACCAUUCUCACCUGCGGCUAGACCUGCGGAAGGAUCAUUACCGAGUGUGAACCCCCCCGUAAAAAAGAGGGGUUACCUCCCGUCCUUUGCUGGGAACCCCUUUCCAACUUGGAAGGAGGUUGUUUUCAGACCCUUCUGCUUCGGUGGGGUAACCCACCGGAACAACCUCAAAAAUAUUCUCAAUUCAAAACCGUUCAGUCCGAGAACUUUUUUGAAAAGCGAAAAAACUUUUAGCAACG
rnacentral:misc_RNA from 1 species